rnacentral:lncRNA from 1 species
GGCGACUCGUGUGCUGGAGUCGGCGACUCCUAUGAGUAUUGAUGAUUCUUCCGCGCAUCGCACCGCACCAUUGGUCGUGAGCGCGGAAGGCCGAAUUGUGUCGGGACUGAACCCGAACCAAGGUCCUUCUCUGAAGAGAAAGAGAAGGCGCACCACUGGGAAGGGCAAAGUACGCGUGCCCGAAGAGAAUGAAGGGGUCCCUCCUCCCUUGGAUAUUAACUUCGAGGAGACCUUGACUGUGGACCGUGGUGCUCAAAAUCCACGACGUAGAGCGGGCCGGCGCUCUGAAAGAACUCCGCCACCUCCCGUGGAUCUGAAUGCUAGUCGAGACCCGGACCUCGACUUAAAUACAUAUGUCGGAGCUUUGAAC